rnacentral:sRNA from 1 species
UAAUGCCUUUGUUUGGCCAAGCUAUGUGCAAAUAUCACAAAUUAAUAAAUUUGGUUAAGCAGUUAGGCUGGACCUAAUAUUUUAGAAAAACCUAAUUCUUUUUGUGGACCCAUUUUCGAUAUUUACUCACAAAUGGAAUUCAAGGGGAACAACUUCGGUCUCAGCACUUUAAUUAUUCUUCUCGUUCCCACCUAAUUUCGCAAUUUAUUGUCCUUGACUUCUACCACGAGAAAAAAAUUAAGAAAAUGCAACGCUGCCCGUGCAGGGUUUUCUGAGCGGGAUGAAAAAAAUCAGACAAAUAUCCAAGUUAUGAGUAAUUACUUUGUUGGAAGGAGGGAGCAGAGCAUAAGGAAAUUCUUAAAACUGUUAUGUAUAUAAAGGAAGAACCAUUUCUAGUUAUUUCACUUUUUGAUACUUGUCAACUAUCUUAGUAAAAAUACAGAACUCUAUAAAGAACCACAGAAAAAUCGACAGCAAUGACAAGCAUUGACAUUAACAACUUACAAAAUACCUUUCAACAAGCUAUGAAUAUGAGCGGCUCCCCAGGCGCUGU